UCCGUAGGCGGUGUGAUAAGUCGAUAGUGAAAUCUCUGGGCUUAACCCAGAGGCUGCUAACGAAACUAUCAUGCUAGAGUGUGAGAGAGGCGAGUGGAAUUACGGGUGUAGCGGUGAAAUGCGUAGAUAUCCGUAGGAACAUCCGAGGCGAAAGCGGCUCGCUGGAUCACAACUGACGCUGAGGGACAAAGCUAGGGAGCAAACA
rnacentral:rRNA from 1 species